GACGAACGCUGGCGGCGUGCCUAAUACAUGCAAGUAGAACGCACAGUUUAUACCGUAGCUUGCUACACCAUAGACUGUGAGUUGCGAACGGGUGAGUAGCGCGUAGGUAACCUGCCUGGUAGCGGGGGAUAACUAUUGGAAACGAUAGCUAAUACCGCAUAAUAUUAAUUAUUGCAUGAUAAUUAAUUGAAAGGUGCAAUUGCACCACUACCAGAUGGACCUGCGUUGUAUUAGCUAGUAGGUGAGGUAACGGCUCACCUAGGCGACGAUACAUAGCCGACCUGAGAGGGUGAUCGGCCACACUGGGACUGAGACACGGCCCAGACUCCUACGGGAGGCAGCAGUAGGGAAUCUUCGGCAAUGGACGAAAGUCUGACCGAGCAACGCCGCGUGAGUGAAGAAGGUUUUCGGAUCGUAAAGCUCUGUUGUAAGAGAAGAACGGGUGUGAGAGUGGAAAGUUCACACUGUGACGGUAUCUUACCAGAAAGGGGCGGCUAACUACGUG
rnacentral:rRNA from 1 species